AUAACUACUGAAAUAGUAAGAAAGUGGCCUAUUACAGACAGCUGACAAGGUCUGAGUAACAGUAGGGAGAAAUUAGUAUUGGGGAAAUUAGGUUUAGGUUUUGUAAUAAGUUCUGUUUCUUAGCACAUGAGCAUUGUUCAAUCUUUGGAGACGUGCUGUGUUGCUAUUAGCUCUGUGACAUAAUUUUGUACGGAAAAGCUGUUGCAAAAAUCAAGAGAGUUUGCUCUCUGCCUUAAUGUUUCCAAUGAGAAACGGACCUGCAAGACCCCAGCAUCCACUGUCAUGGCAGCAAUACACACAUGUACAGUGUACCCCAUUCAUACUCACACACUUGUGCACCCCUGAGACCUGUACAACUCUCAGUUUGCAAACUGGAACAAUGCCCAAUCCUCCAUCUGAAUCGGAAUCGUUUAUUUUACUGCCUGUAUUGAGAUCAAACAGGUAAAUACAACCUCAGGAGCUGUGGGAUAAAGUGCUGUGUUGUGUACAAAACAAUCUGACAUGGAGAUUGAUUCGGAGCCAGGAUUGCAAGGAGAAUUUCCAUGGGGACUUGCUCCAGCAACCCAGCUGCAGGGGUGGCAGGAGCAGCAAAGUAGCCAAUGAUUACUAGAUGAAGCAGGAAACCUGGAACAUUGACUCAACAAGGAAAUAUUUCAAGAACCAUCUUGGUCAUUUUUCUGCAGAAGUUUGUUGUCAAACCAGCUGAUCUGGAAUCUUUUUUUUCUGUCUUUAUUUAUUUUUUUAAUUCCUUUCCCUUUCCCACCUCUGUUAUAAAAGCAUUGAUGGCCUGAUAAGAUGAUGUUUGCUUUAGGUAAACAUCAUGGACCCUGUUUAUAGAACAUUGUGCAAAUAUUUCCCAGUGUUUAUUCUGAAAGAUUUGCACCAUGGAAACAGGAAGUGAUCACAGAAGGAAGGUGCUCCAGCCACCUUCAUUCACAAAGCGCUGGCUGGAGGCAGCUGUUAGAUAUGCUAAAUCCUUGCCUGAUGACAUAGAUGGCUUUUUGAGGCCCUCAGGCUCAUAACAAAGAUGGCAAAAAUCAUCCCCCUGCCUGCAACAGUAUACAGCCCUUAAGGUUUAUUGAACUGAUAUUACGGGAGUGUAAGAAUAAGGAUGCCGCUCUGUAAACAAAGGAAAAGGGAAGAUGUGGCAAAUAUAGGGAGAAGGCCAAGAAACAUGUGGGAGGCUGUGUUCUGCAUGUGCAGCCCACCCAAGACAGAUUGCUUGGCACAAAGUGGUCAUGUAGCUGCAACAGAUAUUUACUUAACUCCAUCGUAAUGGCCUGUCUUUUCUCUGUCCCCUGUCCUGUCCACCCCUUUCUAUUUCCCCACCCAUCCUUCCAGGGAGAGGUGAGUUCUGCCCAGUUCUAGAAGCCAGAACCUCUAGUGUUCUAAUCCCAGCUGCGACACUGAUUCCUGUCUAACGAUCCUGAUCUGCCUCACAGGGGAGCUGUGAUGAUUAUCUAGAUAAUGGAGAAAUAUUCACUUCUUGCUUGGCUCUAUCAACUCACACCCACAGGAUGAAUGAGCCAAUAUUUAAAAAAAAAAAUUAAAAAAAAAUGGUUUGAUCAAUCCUCUUAUCACUGACAUUUCAGUUUCAGCCCCAGUAGCCUAGGAAACCUAGAACAGGGUCACUGACAUUCAGCAAAGCACUUCUUUAUUCAGGGAAAAAUGGGGCCUUAGCCUCAGGAUGAAGCACGUAACAUCAUCGGAAACCCCACAGCAGCUAUCCUGGAUGUUGGAUACCUCUGUCUGAAUGAGUGGUCACUUGAUGUAACGGGCACUGUCAGAAUGGAAUCAGAGUAGUUUCCACAACAGCACUAGACAAAAUAUACAAUUCCCCAUAUUCUCAUUUAUAAGGAGCGUAAAUCUCAUCCCGAAAUGGACUCAGCUGUCCAUAAUUUGGAUUAUAGGGAAACCUAUCAAAUGUCAAUGCCCAGAUGUCAGUGCUGGAAAAUGUCACCUAGGUCUGCUACCCCACUUAAUGGAGGAUUGGUCCCUACCACAUAUUCUCUAAUGGUUUGUCUGGUAGUUUUAACAGGUGAGAAAAGUAAAGCAUAGCAAGGGUAAAUAACUAGGCCACACCAGGGAGGAAAGUCUGUAGCAUGCAGGGCAUAAACCUUACAGCAGCUCUUGAUUCCUCGAUUAAAAGCUAAAAAUAUUUUAGCUAAGCUGAAGCCCAAGCUCUUGUCAAAUACUCUAGUUUAUAUGCAAAUUUAGAAUUCAAGAAAAUCAAGUCAGCGACUAAGUUUAAGGGUCAAAUCAGCGACGACUGUUAUGCUCCUAUGCUAAUACAGCUUCAUAUAGAGUUUAUGGACCUUUAGAAUUGUCUAUGAGCAUGGAUUAUUAACCCAUGACUUAUGUCAGGUCAGGCCUCAGCUACAUUCAG